rnacentral:lncRNA from 1 species
AGGAGGUAUAGCAUUUUGAUGACAAAAUAAAGAACCGAGAGCCAUUUUACAUGAAAGAUUCUUGCAAGGUAGAGCAUACAGGCAGGAAAGAGUAGCCAGCGAAUGCAGUUCCAUUUGGUGAUAAUUGUUUGAUGCUGUAGCAACAACUAGUCCAGAAGAUCGUGUUUUUUAAAUACCUGUAAUGGAAAAGAGAAGAUGUAAGUGAAAAACUGCCUAAACACUCCACUCAAACACAAACAUUGAGGGAGAUUGCUGGUUGAGGCCAAUUCCAUGAGCCCUGCUGCCAGAAUUAUUCCGGUUCAUCAAUCCAAAUUGAGCUAGAGGAACCUUUGACAUCCCCCUCUCUCUGCCUGCAGGUCAGCUGUCUCCAAUCCUGAGGUCAUCACUCAUCAAGAGGGGAUAAUCCCAAGGACAGCAGGAUCUGCUUCGUCACUUGGAUUUAGGAGUGAGAAGCCCAUCAGGCAACUAAACAGUAACAAUGACCCACCAUUAAACACACGGAGAGAAGAGCAUGAUGAGGAGAUUGUACAAGAAGAAUCCUGGAGCUCUUGCUGACAACGCCUAUGGAGACGCUGACCAUUUUUCAGGUGUAUGGAGACUAUGAUUUUUGAAUGCUGAAAAUAAUCUUCACUACCAGCCAGACCAGUUUCUUCAAGACUGGGGUUUAAAAUAGCCCUGGCUCUCAUGGAUUUCAACAUGCUAUCUAAGUGGGAGCCCACAGAAGAUGGUGGCACAGAUCCAGCACAAAGCUCUUGAUCAAAAGAAGAAGCAGGAUAUGCAUAAGAUCCCAGUCAGGGGAAUUUGCUGCAGCUGUUGUCGGCAAAUCCAUGUCCUGAUACACUCAAGUACCAGAAAAGCAGUAAUCCGCCCUCGGAGUUCCAUAGUGAUGGCUGCACUGUGGAAAGGGAAAGGUAGACUAUGGGUAGAAUGCAUUAUUGAUAAUACUUCAUCAAGAACAGUGAAUCGCAAAUUAAAUGCCUUAGACACGAAAUGCAAUAAACAGCACAUCAAAUAUUUUUGAAAUACGCAAAGCAUUGCUUUAAGGUAAGAAUGUGAUAUUUUCUAAAAUGUUGGGGUGGGGUUCCAAGCACUAAAGUCAUUAUUUUUAUAUGAAGUGUUUCAUGGCAGUCAGAAAUACUAAGGGUUUGAGCUCCCACCCCCUGGAUUCAUGGCUAUUGAAGUGAUAAUGAAGAAGUGUCAUACGGUGACACAGGCCUUCCGUGAUUCUCCAAACACUUUUCUGCACAGUG